rfam:Capsicum annuum cultivar Zunla-1 unplaced genomic scaffold scaffold454, whole genome shotgun sequence
UGAUGAUGGUGUGAGAAAUCAUGAAGCAUGGACUUGAACCUCUCCCACUAUUUAAAUAGAUUUUUACCAUCCAUCUGUCUGAAGAUUAAGAUUUCAUUUCUCAAUUU